rnacentral:lncRNA from 1 species
GCCGGAGCAAGAACAACGGCGUGAAGAGAUAAAAGCGAUUCCAAGGAAAUGUAGCAGAAGUGUCAGUCCAGCUGCACUCAUGUCCUGGCAAAAGGGACAGACCAAGCCGGCUGCUUCCCCAUGUGCUCUGGUGCUGGUCUCCCACCGGGACACAGAGCAGGGCCGGGGCUCCAAGCACUGCUUUAGGGUCUCCCAGAAGUGCAAGGAAGCCUCACGCGAUGCCUGAUUCAGAAGUAGGCUGCUACCAGGCAGCUUUGUGCAUUUGGUGGCUUCCUUGGAAACUCAUCAAACGCUUGGCACAAACGCGUCCCUCCUCCAGUGACAGGAGCUCACACUUCGGCAAGCAUCAAACUGCUCUGAAAUGUGAUAACGGCGUCUGUCAAUUUCUGCACACAGAGUGCUGUUUUCUGCAGCGGGACUGUUUGUCUUGGCCUUCUGGAGCUGUAGGAGCUUUCAGACCCCCUACUCCUUGGAGCAAGGUUUGGGGGAUAGAUGGGGUACAAAAGGGCAGGGCAGGUUUUGGGAGAGGUGGGGAGCGCUCAUAGGAGAGCUCCAUUUGUGGGGUAGUGGGAGAAGGGAGGGUUCUGGGGACAUUCCUUAGCCAGGCGGCAGGCACAGCUGCGAAUGACAGCAGCUGCAGAGCCCAGAAUGGGUCUGAGCCUGGCCUCUCCCUCCCUACGCCUGGCGGACAACCUCCUGGUCCCUGGCCACAUUGCUGCCUCCGACUGGCAGCACAGGACACUCAGCCUUCCCCCCGCCCCCCACCGCAAUGAGGUUUGAGCAGGUGCUGGGGGUGGGGAGAGGAGUAGGCGUGUCUUAGGAGGAGAAGGACGAUGGGGUGGCAGAGGUGGCACUGUGCCUGGUGUUUUGGGGACUGAAAGGAGGACACGUUCAUUGUUUGGAUGUAUUUGUAAUUUAAGAUUACAUCUUUCCUAAAGCAGGUGCUGCUGCAAUGGGGUGAGCGCGGAGCAAACAUUGAAAGGCUUUGAGCUGGGUAAGGGCAGGUUCAGGAGGCAGGUCUGCCUGCAGGGUGAAGGGAAGCUGGAUGGAGCAGACACACCAGAGGCUGUCUAGUGGUCCAGGUGAACAAGGAAGGGGGUGGUGGGGAUGGAGACCACAAGAAGAUCCAGGGCUUGGGCAGGGCGUGUAGGACUUAGGAUGUUCUGUUCCCCUCUGUCCUUAGCCCUGAUACAACAAUAUGCUUAAGCCGUCUUCUCCCCUUCUAGGAGCUCAGUGGACCCUCAAAGCUCAUGGAGUACCUGGCAAGGGUUCUCUUAGAAAGGGGCUAAUGGAAAUGUCCUUUAGGAAAGGUGAGGAUUCUUCCUGCUGGAUGCCAUGAAGAUUAAGGAUGACGGAGCCUCCAUCUGAGUGACUCAUUUCUGGGCAGUGAUGGGGGUCCUGGCCCUCAGCCACUGCUCCUGGUGUCCCAAGGCUCCCCCAGCGAUCCUUAAUCAGGCCACUAGCCAUGGCAGCAUUUGGUGUGCUUCACCUGUUGUGGUUAUUUUCCUAACUAUGCCCCGAUCGUCCCAUUCUUAAGCUGGUGCGAGCUUAUUCAAGUUAACUCUUGAAUUUUUCUGAGCCAAUCUCAGUCGUUUUGGCUUUGGUCUGGCGAGAAGCUUUAGGGUCUGUGCAUUUCCCGCUUUGGAUCUGGAAUCAGCCGUUUCUCCAAGUGGCCCUGGUUCCUUUUGGUGGGAAAUGGUAUUGAGAGGUCACACUCUAGGUAAAUGUGUCCCUCCUUUCUUGGCCAAAAAUGCCACAGCCGCUCCAAAAGUGUGUGAUGUCAAAUUUUGUAAGAAACUUUUAGAUUUUUGCUAAUUUUAAUGGGUAAAAAUUGUUACCUUAGGGUUGUUAAUAAUUUGCCUCUCAUUACGAGUAAGGUUGAGUAGUUACGAAAAUAUGUAUGUAUAUAAACUGCAGUGGCUUGGGUCGUUGCUAUGGCAUGGGUUUGAUCCCUUGCCUGGGGACUUCUGCAUGGCUUGGGAGCGGCCACACGCACACACACACACACACACACACACCAUUUGCUCAUUUUUUAAAUUAUUUUUUUUGGCUGCUCNGCUCAUUUUCGAAAUUAUUUUUUUGGCUGCUCUGCGGCAUAUGGAGUUGCUGGGCCAGGGGUCAGGUCCAAGCCACAGUUUCAAACCUAGCUGUGGCAACACCUGAUCCUUUAACCCACUGCGCUGGGCUGGGGAUCAAACUUGCAUCCUGGUGCUGCAAAGAUGCCACCAAUCCCGUUGCACCACAGUGUGAACUCCUCAUUUGCUCAUUUUAAAAUGGGAUUGUUUGUUCUUGUCGCCUUUAGUUUUAGAAGCUCUUUGUUUAUAAGGAUAUUAACCUUUGUCUUUUACAUAAGUUACAAAUAUUUUUCCUGGUUUUUCUUUGGUCUCUUUACUUUGUUUAUAGUGUUUUUUGUCACUCAGAAGUUUUUGUUUUGUUUUGUUGUAAAGAUCAUGACUUCAUAACCUAGACUGCAAAGAUGGACUUCAAGGAGUCUGAAUCCACUGUUUUUUGUGCAGAUUUCAGGCUAUAUAAACACAUAUGCAUCUUCCUGGGAAAAGAGUCAAUUUCUUUCAUCAGCAUCCCAUCAUUUAAGAGCUUACCUUUAAAUUCUCGAAAUCUAGGAGUCCUUGCCCUUAAGCUUUGGCAAGGGCCUCACCUCUGCCCCCUCAGACUUCAGUUUCUCCCCUGAACAGUGAGGGGCCUGGGCAAAAGGCCCCUUAGGGCUUCUCUCCAGAGUCUGGAUCUGCCUAGGCUCCCCCUGAAGCAGCCCCCCAGACCGUAUUCCUCCUGGCCUUUUGGCAGGAGGUGCCACUCUCAUUUGCUAAAUUCAGGGUCAUUCCUCCCCAAUCAUCCCCCAGGAGAUCUAGACACCGGAUGAGUCACCUUUCUAUUGGGAAAGGUCUCCCUGAGUUAGCCAUGAGGGUUGCUAGAAGUUCAAGGUAAACCAAAGUUCUAAUAAAUGAAGUAAUACCCACAGUACUGACCCAGAAUGGAGAGGAUUUGGCACUCAGGAAUAAAAUCACCAGCAGAAAUUAAUGGAUAAUUGGACAUUAAUUCUUUGUGAACGCAAACAAAUUAAACUUCACUUGGGUGGCGAAGGGACCAGGCUGCCUGUGGAAUGCACCGUCCUGGCCUUUGGAGGCUUAAUCUUCUCACCAGGGCUGGAGGUGGGGUGAGGAGAUGACUAACUAAAUGUUUUUUAAAAAAGUCUCUACAAUGUUGGAAAAGCCCCCAAAGCUGAAAUCCCUUUGGAAAGAACAAUCCACAAGUCCUUGAAUUGUUCCUCUGUUUACACUUGACUUAGUGUCCUGUUGGUGUGUGUCUAGGGAGAAACCCGUCUGCUACCCCAGGAAAUACUUUAACCACCCCCAGAGAAGGGAUGAGACCCCCUUAGACCUUGACCAUCCCUGAAAGUCUCCAACCCAAAUGGGCCAUUUGUCUUUCCCUACAGAGCUCACGGGGCUGUGAGUCCUGUGACAAGUAGCCUUUCUCUGGACCCUGGGCCCCUAGCGUGGAGCUACUGGUGGGCUUGGGGUCUGGGCAGAGCUGGCCACUUGGCCUGGCUUCUUGGCUUUAGAGAGGGAGUAGGUUGGGAGUUUCAGAGGAAACUAGGACAAUCGUCCAGCAGCCAGCACAGGGCAGGGCCCAGAGCGACCGCUUGGUCAAGGCUGGAGCAUGAGUGUCACGGUGGGAGGGCUGGGACCGAAUGCACGAUGAGGGCCCUGGAACCGCACAGCUAAGCAGGGCGGUGGACAUUUUGGCCUGGGGCUUCCGUUCGCCACACAGAAUGUGCCAGAAGGGUUCUCUUUCUGCAACUCGACUUCUGCAACCCUUGCAUUUGCCAGAGUGACAUCCUUUGUCCUCCAUGCCCCCCAGUCCAUGAAAACAAAACCUACGUUAAUCCCCACCUCUCACCACCCCACAAAGGGCCAGUAAGCUGGACAUGAGAGCUUAUGGCCCUGAAAGAUGCUGGUCCAAUCUCCCGGUCCUCAGCCCCAAGCUCUGCCUGGCAGGUGCCUCCCUGCUUCCCUUUUCCUAAACUUCAUGGCACCCAAAUGUUCAAAAUCAGCCAGGAACUCUUGCCAACAGGGGCUGCUCACUGGGCAGCCGGGCCUGACCAGGACUUGGGUACAGUUGCUCUUACUGGGCUUUUUGGGAAACAUUUAUGCUGCCAUGCCCAUCGAUCGUCUGCCCAGUGGCGGUGCUUGGGGGGCUCUCUGAGCACCCUGCCUCGCUACUCUUUCUGCCCUUCAUGCAUCUGGGCCACUCCUUGCCAGACCCUGCCGAGGCUCAGAAGGGCUCUCUUGAGUUAGUCUCUGCAGGGUCCACCUUCUAGUUGCCCUCAGAGUUUCUUAUGCCCUUGGCUGUCCUUGGUGCCAAGGUCACGGAAAUGAAGUCCCAAGGAACAGUGCUGCGGGCGGGGGAGGGGCCGCGUGCGUGCUGGGUCUCUGGACCUGGGACACUUGUCCUUAAACCGGAUCUGCCUCUGCCCAGUGAUGCGACCUUGGCUGGUUCCUGGAGGAGGGCCGGGAAGCCAGGCCCACACCCCUCUCCUCUGAACAAGGCAUGGUCUGGCUGCCUAGCGCUGUCCCCUCCGGUGAAGUCCCUGAGCUACGGCUGCCUCAGCUGUAACAUGGGGAUAAGAAUUCCUUCCCCAUUGAGUGUUUGCAGGAGAAGAUAUGUGGUAAUUAUAGGAAACCCACCGCAGAGCAAUUUGCUGAUGUCAAUCAGGAUAAUCCCAGCUGUCUGCUUCCUGGUCUUGGCCUUCAUUUAGGGUCUAUGCUUUUACUAUAUAUAGAUAGCUUUUGGCAUCUGCCUUUCCUGGGUCGAAUUCUUCCUCCCUACGGAAGAUGCAGUAGAUACGGCAUGCCGUAUAUAAUGUUAUAUAGCCUAUGACAGUGCACAGUUUGUAGCAGUCCCCAGUACAUAAAUGUUAUACAGUAUACCACAGUAUGCAGCGUAUAACAGUACCUAACAUUAGGGCGUACAUAACAGUAUACAGUGUGCAACGUAUAUGGCGCAUAUAAUAGUAGACAGCACUUAACAGUAUAGAGUAUUAAUAAUACACAGUAUAUAGCAGUAUACAGUACCUAACAGUAUACACUGCUUAACCGUAUACAGCAUAUAACACUAUACAGUAUGUAACAGAAUAAGGCCUCUAACAGUAUGCGGUGUAUAACAGUGUACAGGAUGCAAGGGUAUGCGGUCUAUAAGAGUAUACGGUAUUAAGGAGUAUGUGACAUAUGACAGGAUAUGACAAUACAUGUGAAAAUGUUAACUGUUUAGGUGAUUUAAACAUUUUUCUGUGUUGAUUUCAUUUUCUAAAAGGCAAGUAGGUUGCACUGGUUUAGUAUCAGGCUGCAGGACCAGAUUGCCAGGGCUCCAAUCACAGCUCUACCAAUUAUGAGCUGUAUAAUCUCAGGCAAGUUGACCUCUCUGAAACUCAGUUUGCUCAUCUGUACAAUGGAGACAAAAGACUAACGCUUAGACUAAGAACUUUUAAAAUUCAACAGUAAAAAACCUCACAAAAAUUCAGUUAGAAAAUGGGUAGAAGAUGGAGUUCCCGUCGUAGCUCAGUGGAAAUGAAUCUGACUAGCAUCCAGAGGAUGCAGGUUCAAUCCCUGGCCUUGCUCAGUGGGUUAAGGAUCCGGGGUUGCCGUGAGCUGUGGUGUAGGCUGCAGAUGCUGCUUGGAUCUGGCAUUGCUGUGGCUGUGGUGGAGGCUGGCCACUGCAGCUCCAGUUGACCCCUAGCCUGGGAACCUCCAUACACUGUGGAUGUGGCCCUAAAAAGACAGGGAAAAAAAAAAAAGAAAAAGAAAAAAAA